rnacentral:rRNA from 1 species
UACGAAGGGGGCUAGCGUUGCUCGGAAUUACUGGGCGUAAAGCGCACGUAGGCGGCUCUUUAAGUCGGGGGUGAAAUCCUGGAGCUCAACUCCAGAACUGCCUUCGAUACUGGAGAGCUCGAGUCCGGGAGAGGUGAGUGGAACUGCGAGUGUAGAGGUGAAAUUCGUAGAUAUUCGGAAGAACACCAGUGGCGAAGGCGACACACUGGCCCGUUACUGACGCUGAGGCGCGAAAGCGUGGGGAGCAAACAGG